UCCAAGAUAGAACCGUCCUCCCAGGUAAUACCCCUUUAGGAGGUAGAGCUGGAACAGUCUGCUCUGGGAGGUACCACUGGGUAGGGGGCGUCUAUUCCGGAACAAACCAUUGUGUGGGCUGGAGAGGCCCGAAGGACUGCCAGCACCCCCGUGCAAGGGGAUUGCGCACAAGCCACCGAUGGAGGCAGGAGUGGCACUACCUUGGCCGUCCGCAGCCCCCGCUCGCUCUCCCGGUUCCUACCCAAGUCCCCGAACCUGAAUUGGAAGGUGAAAGCCAGGAAGAGUGUCUGGAAAAGACCGGGGUGAGCGUGGAGAUGGUCCUGAUGUGAAAGGGAAGACUCCAUCUAAGGUAGCACCUGCUAAGAUUCAAGAUACAGGUGAUAGGCAGUCAUAAGUUAAAAAGAAGAGAAGCUGAAGCCACGCAUACAGUUUGUUACAUG